AAAUUGAAGAGUUUGAUCAUGGCUCAGAUUGAACGCUGGCGGCAGGCCUAACACAUGCAAGUCGAGCGGCAGCGGGAAGUAGUUUACUACUUUGCCGGCGAGCGGCGGACGGGUGAGUAAUGUCUGGGAAACUGCCUGAUGGAGGGGGAUAACUACUGGAAACGGUAGCUAAUACCGCAUAACGUCUUCGGACCAAAGUGGGGGACCUUCGGGCCUCACGCCAUCGGAUGUGCCCAGAUGGGAUUAGCUAGUAGGUGGGGUAAUGGCUCACCUAGGCGACGAUCCCUAGCUGGUCUGAGAGGAUGACCAGCCACACUGGAACUGAGACACGGUCCAGACUCCUACGGGAGGCAGCAGUGGGGAAUAUUGCACAAUGGGCGCAAGCCUGAUGCAGCCAUGCCGCGUGUGUGAAGAAGGCCUUCGGGUUGUAAAGCACUUUCAGCGAGGAGGAAGGCAUAAAGGUUAAUAACCUUUGUGAUUGACGUUACUCGCAGAAGAAGCACCGGCUAACUCCGUGCCAGCAGCCGCGGUAAUACGGAGGGUGCAAGCG
rnacentral:rRNA from 1 species